rnacentral:rRNA from 1 species
AACGAACGCUGGCGGCGUGGAUUAGGCAUGCAAGUCGAACGAGAAAGCACCCUUCGGGGUGCAAGUACAGUGGCGGACUGGUGAGUAACGCGUGGGAAACCUGCCUUCGAGUGGGGGAUAACAGUUCUAACGGACUGCUAAUACCGCAUAACGCUGUUGUUCGCAUGUUCAACAGUUAAAGAUGGCCUCUACAUGUAAGCUGUCGCUUGAUGAUGGUCCCGCGUCCAUUAGCUAGUUGGUGAGGCAACGGCUCACCAAGGCAACAAUGGGUAGCCGGCCUGAGAGGGUGGUCGGCCACACUGGGACUGAGAUACGGCCCAGACUCCUACGGGGAGGCAGCAGUCGAGAGGCUUCGGCAAGUGGGGAAACCCUGACCGAGCGACGUCGCGUGGGUGAUGAAGGUCUUCGGAUCGU